rnacentral:misc_RNA from 1 species
GAAUCAAAUAAAAAAAAAAAAAAAUUGGGUUCAGUUGGACUCAUUGGUUUGAGAACAGGUCACCAAUAAUUGCCAGUAGCUUUUACAGAAUCAAAUCAAAAUGGUUUUCCAGUUAUCAUUUAUUAACAUCAAAUGUAAAAUCAUUAUAUACAGGAAACACAAAGUAACAAGUGCAAAGUUGCAUUUUGCAACAAGCUGGCCAAAAGAACCAUUAAUAAUUUCAGCAAUUUCAAUAGAGCAACAACAAGGUAUAGACCAAUUUCAGGAAACCAAGGUGAAGAAGAAGAAAUCAGAUUUGCAAUUUCAGUAGACCACAAACUGGUUCUGCAAUUUCAAAUAGAACAAAAAAGGUGAAGAAUAACAAAUCUUGAUCUCACUGAAUCUGUGGCAUUGCCAAAAUCCAUGGGAAGAAGAACUUGUUUUUCUUGAAAAUCUGGGCUGUCCUCCAUGCUCCGUUCCUUUGGUAUUUUGGCAUGGAUGGAGUGAGGGAGAUUUCUGGUCAGGUGAGGGAUUUCGAUGGGUUCAGUUUCUCUAGAGAUUAUGCAUGUUGUUGGAGUGAGUCGAGUGACUGGUGUGGUGUGUGGUAAGUGGCAAUGGCUGAGGUCAGGUGAGGGAUUUAGUGUGAAGGAAAGGAAAAGAUGAGGGAAAGAAGAAGUCAGCUGAAGUGAGAAGGGAGGGCUGGGGGAGGCCUCUGGGUCUGGUCUGGGGGAGGCCUCUGGGUCUGGU